CUACAGCAGACCCAGAUGGGGACUGAUCAGAGAUACUACAGAGAGUGGUGCAUGUUUUUACUGUGCAAGGAACCCAGCAAAGGAACGAGUGGAACAAUGCGGCUUGGCUUCUGUGCACCUGCCUCCCACCAGCUGUAUCUGCUUGGAGGAAGGGGCAGCCUUUGCUGCUUGACCUAAGGAAUCUUUAGGGCUGAGAGAAGAGUCAGCAUCGCUGGGCAGAGGCCUUGUCUCCAAGUUCUUGGAAGUGAUCAGCACGCUCUCUUGUCUCCCUGCCUUCUGCCUCUAGCCACCUUUUCUGACCUGUACUGGGCCUGCUUGCCUGCAUCUCUCUGUCUAAAACCCAACAGUGCCAGGAGAGAAUGAAAAACAACAGGGGGAAGUCAGAUGGAAGCCAAAAAACCUUCCCCAAAGGACAGCAACUAGAGGAAGGGCUUGGUGAAGUCAUUGCUUGUUCCUGUGGGGAUGGUGGCCACCCCUGGUGCCUGACAUCUGCCAGCUGCAGUCCUAGGGUCUCUCUCUAACACUCCAUUUGCUCACUUCUUCUUGUGUGUCUCUGCGGUCAUUUUAAAAAUUUAUUUAUUUAUUCACUUUAGGGUGCACCCUGAUGCUGACCCCUCCCUCCCAUAAGUGCCUCCCAUCAUGCUCCUCCUCUGAGAGAGUAGAGGCCCCACCUGGGUAUCCCCCUACCCUGGGACAUCAAGUCUCUGCAGGGAUAGGUGAAUCCUUUCCUACUGAGCCCAGACAAGGCAGCCCAGUUAGGGGAGCGUGCUCCACAGACAGGCAAGAGCUUUCAGAACAGCCCCUGCUCUCCAGUUACUGAGGGAGGGGGACCCGCAUGAAGAUUGUGCUGUAGAUCCGGUACAUGUGAGCGGGUAGGCCUAGAUCCAGACCGUGUAUGUGCGCUCUCUCUCUCUCUCUCUCUCUCUCUCUUGGUGGUUCAGUCUCUGAGAGCCCCCAAGAGUCCAGGUUAGUUGACUGCAAUCUUUUUUUCCUCUGCUAUGGCAAAGCUUCUGACCUGCCUACAACUUCCCUCAGUCUAUGUGUGCCAUCUCUCUCUUACCUCUCAUUUCCUGUACCUGGACAGAUAAUAGUGAGACGGGGCAGAGGUGGUGGGGAGAUAGGGGAGGUAUGGGAAGACCAACAGGAAGCUCUGGACUCUCAGAAGAUGAGGAAGGUGGGGCUCCCACUCUCAGCAGAGUCCAUGUGUAUGCAGUGUUCAUUUCUGAAGCCCAGAAUCUAUUUCUGUGCUGUUAACCCCACAUUCUUCAGGGAGUUUUCCCUUUGUCACCAUCUGGGAGAGGUGGGUUCCUCUGGGGAACAAACUAAAGGGGGUACUGCCUUCCCAUUACCACCUGGUUGCUAAGGACUAGAUAGUAGAUUAUGAAUGAGGGAGAUUUUCAGACUGGAGGGCACACAAAUGGGAGAUGCCUGGAAGUUUAUUCCAGUGGGUGCUGGCCUUGAGGUUGGUUUUGCUAAGGAGCACUGACUCCUUAUUUGGGACUACAAGGCAGUUAAAAAUCAAGAUGAAAGUCAGACAACUGCAUUUUGUAUUUAUGUCCCUGGCAGUCUUAGUUGGGGUUUCUAUUGGUCUGAUAAAAACACCAUGACACAAUCAACUUGGAAUCCACCAGGGAGAGCAGUCAGGGCAGGAACCCAAGGCAGGACCAGAUGCAGAGGCUAUGGAGGGAUGCUGCUAACUGGCUUGCUCUUCAUGGCUUGCUCAGCCUGCUUUCUUAUAGCACUCAGAACCACCUCAGGACAGCACCCCCACACAGUGACCUUGGCUUCUCACAUCAAUCGUUAAUCAAGAAAAUGCCCCAUAGGCUGGCCCUAUGCCUUGAGGCUGCCCCAUAGGCUGGCCCUAUGCCUUGAGGCUGCCCCAUAGGCUGGCCCUCAAGGCAGCCUGGUGGCGGCAUUUCCUCAACUGAGGUUCCAUCUUCCCAGGUGACUGUAGCUCAUGUCAUGCUGACACCAAACUAGCCAGGACACUGGCUUUAGGUCAGACUUCUGCUUGACUCUGCCUAGGGCUGGUAGUCACUGAGUAAUGUCUGUCUAAAACCUGGGGAUGCCUAGCCUAGUUCAUCCCCUUGCAACACUGAAGGCAUAAUGAGAAGAGAAACUGAGAUCUUUUUGUCAGUGUUACAGCACCCUGAUCCAGGUUACAAAAGCAUCUGAAAGCCUUCAGUCAUUGUCCCAAACCUGAAGUCACCUUGGAUUAUAGGACCAGCAAAGCUUUACAGAUAGAUGACCACCUCCAAAGGUAGAGCAGAUUAUCCCCACAAGCUGUGAAGCCACCUUGCAGAAGCAGAACUGAGCUGGUCAUCAACCAGACUACAUCUUGACCAACACUGCCUAGUUCUUCCUCUCAAGCACUCUGGGAUCUUCAAGUGACAACCCUCUGUGGGACAGAGCAUUUUCUAGCUGUCAGCCUGAACAAACUACUUAGUCCUGUCAUGCUUUCUGGUCCAUCCAGCUGCACACAUGAAGCCUAUGACAUGCAGGGCACACUUCCCUAGUGCUCCCCUUCUGCAUGUGGUAUCUGUUUCUCUGGUCUCUCUACUUGCUGUAGGCAGAGCCCCCUCCCCAUUCCUGGGGGCUCUGGGCUUCUCAGCUUUCAUUCAUAUGGCUUCUUGCUCCUUCAACUCACCUCCUCUAGGCAGUGAUCUCUAACAGCACAAUGAGGCAACUCCAGAGACCCAGUGAACUCAGUCCAAGGAUCCAAUUCCUCUAUUUACCCCUGGCAUGCUUUGAGGAGGCCUCCUCCAGAGCCUUGUGGGACAUCAUCACUGAAUUGGGGAAAGAAGGAAGCUCCCAGUCCCCUUCUAAGCACCCCAAUACACAUUAUUACGAUCUUGGAGCUCAAGUGUUCCAAGUAACACCAGCCUGCACUGAACUGCUCAGUGUUGAAAUUAUAUGAUUGUUACAAGCCACAUGAGCAGAGCAAAAACACAGCAAGACUUGGGUCUCUUUCUCCUCAUCAGAAGCACGGCCAGAGAAGGCCUUUCUUUACAGGUGCGCCCUGAUUCUUCCUCUGCUUCUCCUUCCCCAGACUCACAGAAAGCAAGAUCACUUUGCCCAGUGUGCAACUGGACUGUUAACAAGCUAAACAGAGGAUAAUGGAGACAGUAAUUUGUACAAGGAAGAGAUUCUCUGGCCACUUCUGCCUUCUACUCUCCCGCCCCUCCCGGUGUUUGCUGGGCAGUCUGCUUCCACACAGUAACCCGUUCUCUUUCUGGUACCCUGGUGCUUCUUCUGACUCAGUCAGCCUCCCAUUGGCCUGGAGAUUUUGAGGCUGGAAGUUGUCUGUCUUCUUUUCAGGUCUUAUUAAAUGUUCAAAAGUUUAAUAAUUGAUUUUAGAGGCACAGAUUCAGGGAUGGAGGAUUCUAUUAGAAGUUGAACCUUUCUCUUUCGGUGAGGACAAGGAAAGUGCUCACCCUAGGGCUUUUGCUCCACUUGUGUUACUCACAUACAAUUUAAACAUUUUCAGGUGUGUUGGGGGUUCCGCUCUUCUGGGUGUCACAUGAGCUGUUAACUUGGAUUGGGGUCUCCGGUGUGUAAGAGGACCACAUUUGGUUUUAAGCACAGCCCAUGGGAAGACACGUGGUGAUUGGAGAGAGUAUAAGUAGCACUCCAUUGACAGUGACCACAUGCGUGUAUAGCUAGCCUUGCAAUGCAUCAGUGAUCUUUCAUCUUCUCUGAAGUUUGCUUCAUUGAGAGGAGCAUUGCAGAGAACUCCUGGUAUUCUGGCUGAUCCUGGUUGCUCCCACUGAUUCAUGCCAAUUUAUCAGAGGCCUGGUUGUUUCUGUUGGAUCAUACCAUCUCUGCUGAUUCAUGUUUGCUAUCCUGACACUGCUGAACUGGACUGCUGGUAUCCUGACAAUGGAGGUUGAAAUCACCUCAAAGAACUUCUAAACAGCAGUGCUCUGGUGUCCCCAAGAAGAUGCUGACUGUGGACCAUUCUGGACUUUGCUAUCCUCCUUGAGACGGUAUUAUGGCAGCACCCGGACACUGUCUGAGGAGAGGCAGAACAUGGCACCACAGACUAAUCCAUCUGUUGAGUAAGAAAAAAGUGUCUACCAGACUUCAUCUCCUAUAUCAGAUUGUACAGGAAUGGUGUUUCAUAUUGGGGUCAAAUGAGGACAUCCUCUGGUGGGAAGCCUGGAUUGCGGGUGAAAGCCUUUGUGGGUGAACCUAAUUCAAAUGGAGUUACCUAGCACAGCGCGUGCUCUUUGGACUAAGGAGUCCUACAACCCAGAGGCAGUUGAGGCCGAAGUGUAAAAUGGGAGCCCCACCCUCUUUUCUUCAAAGCCAGAUUUGCAAACCUCAGAUCUUUGAAACCCUUUUCAGGCAAACACAACCGACCACUCCAGUUAACAGCAGAGCUUAGAACCUGCCCUCUCUCAAUGCCCUGAUUCUUCAGUUUCUCAAACAUCAGACCCCUGUUUGUAUUUAUAGCAAAAUUUCCAGACAACUCAUGCAGUGAGAAGCAAGUCAACAAGUCCUAAAUAUUCAUGUGCUGACUAAUGGCUCGAUCUCGUGGGUAGAGCUCUGUCUAUCAGAAUCUAUGCAUCUUCAUUACUUAAGCGCUGUUUUGGAGUCAGGCAUUAUAAACACCUCGUGAUGUACUGACAGGACAGACGAGUGCCAUCUAUCUUCAGAGGGGGAGAAGCUCUUUCAUUUAACAGAACUCAGAGGUGUGGCUUUGAGAGGACGAUGGGAAAGACUGGUGUUCAGGGGUCUAGCCCUCUAUGUGCACAGAGUUGCUUGUUGGCCUUAACCUUUGCUUGCACUUGGCACCUUCAUAAGAGAAUCUGCAGAACCUCUGCUUCCUCAAAGGAGUGCGAUUCUGAGCGGGAGGAACAAUUCAAUGAGCAUAAGUACCCUCACUCUCCAAAUUUUUAAAAAUAUCUUUCAGAUGGCGACAUCAAAUUCAGAAGCCGUCUUUCUUAAAUUCCCUCAAAUUCUUGGUGAAGAUCAGGCUUCCGAAAGUAAACAGUGAAGUUUACAGCCAGGCAACUCUGCCAUUUAGGGCUGCAGUUCUGGAGAACUUGCCUGAAUUGAGAGUUAAUGGAUCCUCUUCGUUCUCCCAAACGAUGCACACUUGUUAUUCUUUGCAUGUUAAACUUUCCUUCCCCCACCAUAUUUAUUAUGGGAAAAUAUAUGCUAAGAUGUUAGACAUUAUCUACACUUGUAUAGAGGAACAAGGGGAAGAAAGGGCUAGCACCCAUUCAAGGAGGGUGAUGGCAUAUGCUGGAAUUUGAAAUUUAAGCCUCAUUGGUUACAUCUACCGUUCAACCAAUCAUCAUGCCUCCCUGAAGCCUUGAGAGAUGGUGUUUACAGCUCAGUGUCUAGCACACCUCAUCUAUAAUGUGUUGGCUUAGACAAAUUGCCUGUGUAUCUCAAAAGCAUGUUCUGGGGAUAAAAUAAAUACAGAAAUCUGAAAGCAUGUUUAAACUUAAAGGACGAGUUGGAGAGAAGUCUCAGUGGUUAAAAGCACAGACUGCUCUGGCAGAUGACUCAAGUAGGGUUCCCAGCAUUUCCAUCGGGCAGCUCACACCAACCUUGAGCUCCAGCUCUUCAGGAUUCAAAGCCUCUGGCCUCUGGCACUGACACACAGGUGGACAUAUUAACACAGACACACAUCCAUAUGUAUAGAUAAAAAUACCACACGCCUUUAUCUGGCACUCAGCAGGCAAAGGCAGGUAGAUUUCUGGGAGUCCAUGAGCAGGCUGAUCUAUCUACACGGCAAGUACAGCCAGCAAGGCAAGCCCAGGCCAACCAGGGCUAUGCAGUCUAAAACACAGAAGCAAGCAUAAACUCUGAAAUAAAUAGCAGCAAUAACAAAAAUAGUUAAAGGAUACGAGGCAACCAGGGUAAGCUGCCUCUGUGUGUGUGUGUGUGUGUGUGUGUGUGUGUGUGUGUGUGUGUGUGUGUGUAGUUGUUUCUCUGAUCCACUCUACUUUCUUGGGUGCUAUUUGUGCCGUUUCCCUAAAUGACCCACACUUCUACCACAUGUGAGACACACAACGCCUGCGUAUCUUUCCAUUUGAUCUUCAGAAUCCUGUGAUCUCCUAAGACAGGGGUCAUUUCCUUCCGUUUCAGUGGAAAGUGAGUCUGCACUGGACUUAUUUGCUCAAGACUGAUGAGGGAGCAUCUCAAAACUGUGCAGUGUUGGAAGGCAAGCCAAGUUCUCUACUGGCUCUACAUCACACAAGAUAGUAUUACUGCAUGCAGAGUGAACUUGUGUUGGUAUUGGUGUGUGCACAUGUAUACGCUGUGUUUGUUCUUGUGUGUGUGUACAUGUAUGGACUGGUACAUGUGGAGACCAGAGGUUGGCAUUGGGUGUCCUUGUUUCACUGCCUUAUUUUGGGGAGACAAGGUCUCUCAUUGGCUCUGGGACUUACCUAUUUGGCUAGACUGACUGGCUA
rnacentral:sRNA from 1 species